GGGCGAUUAGCUCAGCUGGUCAGAGCAUCUCGUUUACACCGAGAGGGUCAUAGGUUCGAAUCCUAUAUCGCCCA
rnacentral:tRNA from 1 species